rnacentral:rRNA from 1 species
CAACCUGCCCACCACUUGGGGAUAACCUUGCGAAAGUAAGACUAAUACCCAAUGAUAUCUCUAGAAGACAUCUGAAAGAGAUUAAAGAUUUAUCGGUGAUGGACGGGGAUGCGUCUGAUUAGCUUGUUGGCGGGGUAACGGCCCACCAAGGCAACGAUCAGUAGGGGUUCUGAGAGGAAGGUCCCCCACAUUGGAACUGAGACACGGUCCAAACUCCUACGGGAGGCAGCAGUGAGGAAUAUUGGUCAAUGGACGAGAGUCUGAACCAGCCAAGUAGCGUGCAGGAAGACGGCCCUAUGGGUUGUAAACUGCUUUUAUAAGGGAAUAAAGUGAGUCUCGUGAGACUUUUUGCAUGUACCUUAUGAAUAAGGACCGGCUAAUUCCGUGCCAGCAGCCGCGGUAAUACGGAAGGUCCGGGCGUUAUCCGGAUUUAUUGGGUUUAAAGGGAGCGUAGGCCGGAGAUUAAGCGUGUUGUGAAAUGUAGACGCUCAACGUCUGCACUGCAGCGCGAACUGGUUUCCUUGAGUACGCACAAAGUGGGCGGAAUUCGUGGUGUAGCGGUGAAAUGCUUAGAUAUCACGAAGAACUCCGAUUG